rnacentral:rRNA from 1 species
UACGUAGGGGGCGAGCGUUGUCCGGAAUUAUUGGGCGUAAAGAGCGUGUAGGCGGUUCGGUAAGUCUGCCGUGAAAACCCAGGGCUCAACCCUGGGCGUGCGGUGGAUACUGCCGGGCUAGAGGGUGGUAGAGGCGAGUGGAAUUCCCGGUGUAGCGGUGAAAUGCGCAGAUAUCGGGAGGAACACCAGUAGCGAAGGCGGCUCGCUGGGCCACACCUGACGCUGAGACGCGAAAGUGUGGGGAGCAAACAGG